UACGUAGGGUGCAAGCGUUGUCCGGAAUUAUUGGGCGUAAAGAGCUCGUAGGCGGCUUGUCGCGUCGGCUGUGAAAACCUGAGGCUCAACCUCAGGCCUGCAGUCGAUACGGGCGGACUUGAGUACUGCAGGGGAGACUGGAAUUCCUGGUGUAGCGGUGAAAUGCGCAGAUAUCAGGAGGAACACCGGUGGCGAAGGCGGGUCUCUGGGCAGUAACUGACGCUGAGGAGCGAAAGCGUGGGGAGCGAACAGG
rnacentral:rRNA from 1 species